AUUACUCAACCGGCUAAAGGUUCUUUCGGAUAAAGAGAGAUUAAAAGGGAAUCACGUGUAAAUCGUGAGCUGUUGCGCAACUGUAAGUAACGCAAAAAUUUCUGCACAGUAUUUUUACCACUGUUCACACCAGUGAAUGGGAAGGUCAGCAGAAAUGUUACAAGCCAGGAGACCUGCCAUUGCCCCGCUGUAUUA
rnacentral:ncRNA from 2 species